CAAAUGCGGGAAGCAGGGUGAUCCUAUGCUGCCAAGAAAAUCUUCUAGCGAGGUUCUAGCCGCCCGUACCCCAAACCGACUCAGGUGGUUAGGUAGAGAAUACCAAGGCGAUCGAGUGAAUCGUAGUUAAGGAAUUCGGCAAAAUGCCCCCGUAACUUCGGGAGAAGGGGGGCCCGGAUUCUGAAGUCCUUUACGGACUAGGAUGAUGGGCCGCAGAGACCAGGGAGAAGCGACUGUUUACUAAAAACACAGGUCCGUGCGAAGUUGCAAAACGAUGUAUACGGACUGACGCCUGCCCGGUGCUGGAAGGUUAAGAGGACGGGUUAGACGCAAGUCGAAGCUCAGAAUUUAAGCCCCAGUAAACGGCGGUGGUAACUAUAACCAUCCUAAGGUAGCGAAAUUCCUUGUCGGGUAAGUUCCGACCUGCACGAAUGGCGUAACGACUUCUCCACUGUCUCAACUGCGAACUCGGCGAAAUUGCAUUACGAGUAAAGAUGCUCGUUACGCGCAGCAGGACGGAAAGACCCCGGGACCUUUACUAAAGCUUGGUAUUGGUGUUCGGGACGGCUUGUGUAGGAUAGGUGGGAGACUAUGAAGCAUGCACGCCAGUGUGUGUGGAGUCAACGUUGAAAUACCACUCUGGUCGUUCUGGAUAUCUAACCUCGGUCCGUGAUCCGGAUCAGGGACAGUGCCUGGUGGGUAGUUUAACUGGGGCGGUUGCCUCCUAAAAUGUAACGGAGGCGCUCAAAGGUUCCCUCAGUCUGGUUGGCAAUCAGAUUUUGAGUGUAAGUGCACAAGGGAGCUUGACUGUGAGACUGACAAGUCGAACAGGGACGAAAGUCGGAACUAGUGACCCGACGGUGGCUUGUGGAAGCGCCGUCGCUCAACGGAUAAAAGGUACCCCGGGGAUAACAGGCUGAUCUUGCCCAAGAGUCCAUAUCGACGGCAUGGUUUGGCACCUCGAUGUCGGCUCGUCGCAUCCUGGGGGUGGAGUUGCUCCCAAGGGUUGGGCUGUUCGCCCAUUAAAGCGGUACGCGAGCUGGGUUUAGAACGUCGUGAGACAGUUCGGUCCCUAUCCGCUGCGCGCGUAGGAAACUUGAGAAAGGCUGACCCUAGUACGAGAGGACCGGGUUGGACGAACCUCUGGUGCGUCAGUUGUUCUGCCAAGAGCACGGCUGAUUGGCUACGUUCGGAAGUGAUAACCGCUGAAAGCAUCUAAGCGGGAAGCACGUUUCAAGAUGAGGUUUCCAUGGGCUUUGCCCGAGAGGCUCCCAGUAGACGACUGGGUUGAUAGGCCAGAUGUGGAAGUGCAGCAAUGCAUGUAGCUGACUGGUACUAAUAAGCCGAUAACUU
rnacentral:rRNA from 1 species